AUACGGAGGAUGCGAGCGUUAUCCGGAUUUAUUGGGUUUAAAGGGUGCGUAGGCGGUUUUUUAAGUCAGCGGUGAAACGCAAGGGCUCAACCCUUGACCUGCCGUUGAAACUGGAGGACUUGAAUGCGGAUGCUGUGGGAGGAAUGUGUGGUGUAGCGGUGAAAUGCAUAGAUAUCACACAGAACACCGAUUGCGAAGGCAUCUCACAAAACCGGGAUUGACGCUGAGGCACGAAAGUGUGGGGAUCAAACAGGAUUAGAUACCCUGGUAGUCCACACUGUAAACGAUGAUGACUCGCUGUCGGCGAUAGACAGUCGGUGGCCAAGCGAAAGCGAUAAGUCAUCCACCUGGGGAGUACGACCGCAAGGUUGAAACUCAAAGGAAUUGACGGGG
rnacentral:rRNA from 1 species